rnacentral:tRNA from 1 species
GGGCCUUUAGCUCAGCUGGUUAGAGCACUGCGUUUACACCGCAGGGGUCGUGGGUUCGAAUCCCGCAGGGCCCACCA